GUCCCAGUAGCUCAGCUGGAUAGAGCAACAGCCUCCUAAGCUGUAGGUCGCAAGUUCAAAUCUUGCCUGGGACG
rnacentral:tRNA from 2 species